rnacentral:rRNA from 1 species
GGUGAACGCUGGCGGCGUGCCUAAUACAUGCAAGUCGAGCGAAGAGGGGACGGGUGAGUAACACGUGGGUAACCUCCUAUAAGACUGGGAUAACUUCGGGAAACCGGAGCUAAAACGGAUACUUAUAGCUGGAUGCACGCUGCAUUAGCUGGGUGGUAGGGUAACGGCUUACCAAGGCCACGAUGUAUAGCCGACCUGAGAGGGUGAUCAGCCACACUGGAACUGAGACACGGUCCAGACUCCUACGGGAGGCAGCAGUAGGGAAUCUUGCGCAAUGGGCGCAAGCCUGACGGAGCAAUGCCGCGUGUGUGAUGAAGGUCUUCGGAUCGUAAAACUCUGUCAUUAGGGAAGCGUUACCUACUCAGAAAGCCACGGCUAACUACGUGCCAGCCGCCGCGGUAAUAC